CUUGUCUUCGCCAACGGCUUCAGCAUUUCUACCGACAAGAAUACAAGGGCAGCACCAAGCGAGGAGACCUGUAGUGAGAGGGAAUGGAAACACUGCAGGACAGAUAACGGUAUCAGUGUUGUGCUUACAGGUUGUGCAGUCGCUGAAACAGCCGCAGAGAGGGUAUGACCAGUCAGACAUGGUGUAGGGACGUUUAUUCAAAAG